rnacentral:rRNA from 1 species
AGCGGCGGACGGGUGAGUAAUGCAUAGGAAACUGCCCAGUAGUGGGGGAUAGCCCGGGGAAACCCGGAUUAAUACCGCAUACGCCCUUCGGGGGAAAGCAGGGGAUCUUCGGACCUUGCGCUAUUGGAUGUGCCUAUGUCGGAUUAGCUAGUUGGUGGGGUAAGAGCCUACCAAGGCGACGAUCCGUAGCUGGUCUGAGAGGAUGAUCAGCCACAUCGGGACUGAGACACGGCCCGAACUCCUACGGGAGGCAGCAGUGGGGAAUAUUGGACAAUGGGGGCAACCCUGAUCCAGCCAUGCCGCGUGUGUGAAGAAGGCUUUCGGGUUGUAAAGCACUUUCAGUGAGGAGGAAAACCUUAAGUUUAAUACGCUUGAGGCUUGACGUUACUCACAGAAGAAGCACCGGCUAACUCCGUGCCAGCAGCCGCGGUAAUACGGAGGGUGCAAGCGUUAAUCGGAAUUACUGGGCGUAAAGCGCGCGUAGGUGGUUUGAUAAGCGAGAUGUGAAAGCCCCGGGCUCAACCUGGGAACGGCAUUUCGAACUGUCAGGCUGGAGUAUGGUAGAGGAGUGUGGAAUUUCCUGUGUAGCGGUGAAAUGCGUAGAUAUAGGAGGACACCAGUGGCGACGGCGGCACUCUGGGACAAUACUGACACUGAGGUGCGUAGCGUUGGGGAGCAACCAGAUUUAGAUACCCUGGUAGUCCAACGU